UACAGAGGGUGCGAGCGUUGUCCGGAAUCACUGGGCGUAAAGGGCGCGUAGGCGGUCUCUUAAGCGUGUGGUGAAAGCUCGGGGCUCAACCCCGAGUCGGCCGUGCGAACUGCGAGACUGGAGCAGAUCAGAGGCAGGCGGAAUUCCGGGUGUAGCGGUGGAAUGCGUAGAGAUCCGGAAGAACACCGGUGGCGAAGGCGGCCUGCUGGGAUCUUGCUGACGCUGAGGCGCGACAGCGUGGGGAGCAAACAGG
rnacentral:rRNA from 1 species